rnacentral:rRNA from 1 species
UACGUAGGCAGCGAGCGUUGUUCGGAGUUACUGGGCGUAAAGCGUGCGUAGGCGGUUUUGUAAGUUUGGUGUGAAAUCUCCCGGCUCAACUGGGAGGGUGCGCCGAAAACUGCAAGGCUGGAGUGUGGGAGAGGUAGGCGGAAUUCCUGGUGUAGCGGUGAAAUGCGCAGAUAUCAGGAAGAACACCUAUGGCGAAGGCAGCUCUCUGGGACGGUACUGACGCUGAGACGCGAAAGCGUGGGGAGCGAACAGG